UGGUGGUUAUGGCGGAGCGGCUGCACCCGAUCCCAUUCCGAACUCGGCCGUGAAACGCUCCAGCGCCAAUGGUACUUUGUCUUAAGACACGGGAGAGUAGGUCGCUGCCAG
rnacentral:rRNA from 1 species